rnacentral:tRNA from 1 species
GGGGGGUUAGUCUAAACAAGACUACUAAUUUCGACUUAGUAAAUUCUGAUCACACCAGAACCCCUAA